rnacentral:rRNA from 1 species
UACGGAGGGUGCAAGCGUUAAUCGGAAUUACUGGGCGUAAAGCGCACGUAGGCGGUUUGUUAAGUCGGAUGUGAAAUCCCUCGGCUCAACUGAGGAAGUGCAUCCGAAACUGGCAGGCUUGAGUACUAAAGAGGGUCGCGGAAUUCCCGGUGUAGAGGUGAAAUUCGUAGAUAUCGGGAGGAACACCGGUGGCGAAGGCGGCGACCUGGGUAGAUACUGACGCUGAGGUGCGAAAGCGUGGGGAGCAAACAGG